AGGGCACCACCAGGAGUGGAGCCUGCGGCUUAAUUUGACUCAACACGGGAAAACUUACCCGGCCCGGACACUGGAAGGAUUGACAGAUUGAGAGCUCUUUCUUGAUUCAGUGGGUGGUGGUGCAUGGCCGUUCUUAGUUGGUGGAGCGAUUUGUCUGGUUAAUUCCGAUAACGAACGAGACUCUAGCCUACUAAAUAGACUACCGUUCCUUUGUGACGGUAGGACUUCUUAGAGGGACAGGCGGCGACUCAGCCGCACGAAACAGAGCAAUAACAGGUCUGUGAUGCCCUUAGAUGUCCGGGGCCGCACGCGCGCUACACUGAAGUGAUCAGCGUGCGUUAAUAACCCUCUCUGUCAAGAGUGGGUAACCCAUUGAACCUUCUUCGUGAUUGGGAUAGGGUAUUGUAAUUCUUACCCUUGAACGAGGAAUUCCCAGUAAGCGCGAGUCAUAAGCUUGCGUUGAUUACGUCCCUGCCCUUUGUACACACCGCCCGUCGCUACUACCGAUUGAAUGAUUUA
rnacentral:rRNA from 1 species